UGUUCCCUGUUGGGCCAGUUGCCCCC
rnacentral:piRNA from 1 species